rnacentral:rRNA from 1 species
UACGUAGGGUGCAAGCGUUAAUCGGAAUUAUUGGGCGUAAAGCGUCCGCAGGUGGCAGUUCAAGUCUGCUGUCAAAGACCGGGGCUUAACUUCGGAAAGGCAGUGGAAACUGAACAGCUAGAGUAUGGUAGGGGCAGAGGGAAUUCCUGGUGUAGCGGUGAAAUGCGUAGAGAUCAGGAAGAACAUCGGUGGCGAAGGCGCUCUGCUGGACCAUAACUGACACUCAGGGACGAAAGCUAGGGGAGCGAAUGGG